rnacentral:lncRNA from 1 species
CAUCUAGCACAAAACACACAUCCAUCAGGCUGAUGUCCAGUACCAAUUCAAUUUCCAAAUUUCAAAUUAGUAAAAGUUAUAAAUGUUUAGAGUGACAUGGUAUCAACCCAAUGGUAUAUGAAGAUCAUCAAAUUAGGACAAGCAUACAUCAAAUUUUUUUGCAUCUAGCACAAAAGACACAUCAAUCAAGCUGUUGUUCAGUACCUCUCGCCCAGAAAUCUCCCUGUCCAGCAACUUCAAAUAAAAAAUCCUGUAAAAAAGAUAGAACUAGAACUAUAGGAAUGCAAAUGCAAAAACAUAUCCUGCAAGGAAGAAGGGGGAACGGAGCAAGAGGAAGCACACCACGCAUGCAGACUGCAGCAUCAGAGAUGGAAGGGGAUUAAAUUGGAGGGGGAUGGGGCAUUUUGUACACUGCCAUCUGCUGAUUUGGAGGCGCGUCUGCUGCUUGGAGAGGACGCCUUGUUCAUGGAAACGCGGCGAGCAAGCGGAUGGCAACGCCUCGGCCCGGCGAGCCGCGCGAGGCAUCUUGCAUGCCUCGGCCGCCGUCUCGACGACCCCAUCCAGCGCGACCUCGCGAGGCGGGAGGGUUCGCGGGGUGGCGAGGAGCCCGUGGCUGGCGUGGUCGGCGACGCCGAGCGGCGGAUCCAGGUAUUGCGGACGGAGGUGGCGGCAGCCGGCGCGGGGAAGGAGGCGGCCUCGGCACCUGCUCACGCGAGGGAUGCAGCGCCGCCGAGUCCGGGGUCGGAGAAGCCGUCCGCCCUAGGGACCCCCCGAUUGUCAGCAACUGAGCUAUUCUUGGAGGAAAAUCGACAGUAACUGGCAGAUUUGGUGGGGAAUUUGGCUAGGGUUUCGGAUACAGCUAGGGUUCUAAGCAACUAAGGCAGAAAAGUAAGGCAGGAAAGUAAAGAACAAUGAAAUUAGGGUUUUUCUUCUUGUUUUCAUUCAUCGCAGGACUCGGGUUAUAUACUCCCGAUCGAAUAGAGUUUACCUGACUGAGUUUCAGUUUACAGCAAGAUAACUACAGUGCUUAAGUACUGAAAAGAUGGAUCGACGUCGGAUGAAACAUCAACGGUUCAGAACAGAAGUGAUCUUUUUAAGUGAAAGCGCCUUUCCAGAAUACGCCAACACCCCUGGUAUCUCAUAGACAGCAGCUAUUCUUCAGUAAGUUCAGAUAGGACCCUGACACCGAUCCGGCCCGAAGGAGGCGGAUCCGCCCGAUCCGGCCCUUGGGAGGCAGCGCCGGUGCCCAAUCCGCCCGAUUCGGCCACUGGACGGCAAGGCGGCGCCGGAUCGGAGGAACCGUCGUCCUUGGUGCACGGUGGUGCGCCGCCGCGGUCGAAGGUGGAGAGGCGGAUCUCUCCCGAGCUCGGUGUCGGCGGCAGCACGCGCAAAGGGCGGCGGCGGCAGCCCUCACGGCGGCGGCGUGGUGCAAACAGGAGGCUGGGAGAGAGAGGGACGGGAUGGGGAACUUGUAUAAUACCCCACGUACAGAUAAGCGGCCAGGGCAUGGGUUAUACCCGCAACAAAUUUGGAAUACAGCCAAUCCCCGCUAGAAUCGCUGCUCUCAGAAACAUUUCCAAUUUCUUUAGACCGAAUCUGUACGGCCAAUUUCUCUCUUCCUCUCUCUCUCCUCCUGGUUUGGGCACCGUCUUGUGUAGCCCGCUGGCCUCUAGCUUGGACCGCUUCCAGGCGGAACCGGCGGGCCAAACAGAACUCGGCCCCCAGCCGUAACACGUCAAUCCCUACGUCCUGACGCCCCGCGACUCUGACCGCGCGUGCUCGCCGCAGCUGCGCUCAAGGCCGGCCCAACUACGCUCCCCCGCGCUCCCUGGCCCAAGCUCCAGACGCGUCGACCCUGAGCGCCCGUUCGAGUACACGCGCGGCGCCGCGCUAGACCGCUGGUAACGACGGCCGCCGCUGCCAUCUCUCCUCUUACCUACU